AAGUUCUCAACCACAUCAAUUCUUUUUGGUGAGGCUUGGACGUGGGGGUAUUUUUUGCGGGCUUCUCUAAAUUUGAAGUCGGCUCCCCUGAAAUGCAUUAGUGGUAUCUGAGCAGAAGAAACUACUACAGGUGUGAUAAUUAUCUACGCCUCAGUAGGCUGCAUAAUCAGACUGCACUGCUUCUAACGAGUUGGGAGAUCCCUUUUGGGGACAUCACCCACAUUUGAUGA
rnacentral:misc_RNA from 1 species